rnacentral:rRNA from 1 species
UACGGGGGGAGCAAGCGUUGUUCGGAUUUACUGGGCGUAAAGGGCGCGUAGGCGGUCAGCACAAGUCAAUUGUGAAAUCUCCGAGCUUAACUCGGAAAGGUCAACUGAAACUGUGCGACUAGAGUGCGGAAGGGGCAACUGGAAUUCUUGGUGUAGCGGUGAAAUGCGUAGAUAUCAAGAGGAACACCUGCGGCGAAGGCGGGUUGCUGGGCCGGUACUGACGCUGAGACGCGAAAGCGUGGGGAGCGAACAGG